UACGGGGGGAGCAAGCGUUGUUCGGAUUUACCGGGCGUAAAGCGCGUGUAGGCUGCUCUGCAAGUCGGAUGUGAAAGCCCUGGGCUCAACCUAGGAAGUGCACUCGAAACUGCAGAGCUUGAGUCCUGGAGAGGAAGGCGGAAUUCUCGGUGUAGAGGUGAAAUUCGUAGAUAUCGAGAGGAACACCGGUGGCGAAGGCGGCCUUCUGGACAGUGACUGACGCUGAGACGCGAAAGCGUGGGGAGCAAACAGG
rnacentral:rRNA from 1 species